rnacentral:rRNA from 1 species
GCCCGCUCAGAAACUUAAAGGAAGUUGACGGGGCCCGGCACAAGCGGUGGAGUAUGUGGUUAAUUCGAUGCAACGCGAAGAACCUUACCUGGUCUUGACAUCCCGGAGACCCUUAGGAAACUAGGGGGUGCUUCCAUCUGGAAGAAUCUGGAGACAGGUGCUGCAUGGCUGUCGUCAGCUCGUGUCGUGAGAUGUUGGGUUAAGUCCCGCAACGAGCGCAACCCUUGCCUUUAGUUGCCAGCAGUUCGGCUGGGCACUCUAAAGGGACUGCCGGUGUUAAACCGGAGGAAGGUGGGGAUGACGUCAAGUCCUCAUGGCCUUUAUGACCAGGGCUACACACGUACUACAAUGGCCGAUACAAAGGGCAGCGACACUGCGAGGUGAAGCCAAUCCCGUAAAAUCGGUCUCAGUCCGGAUUGGAGUCUGCAACUCGACUCCAUGAAGUUGGAAUCGCUAGUAAUCGUGGAUCAGCAUGCCACGGUGAAUACGUUCCCGGGCCUU